rnacentral:rRNA from 1 species
CACUCCUGCGGGAGGCAGCAGUGGGGAAUUUUGGACAAUGGGCGAAAGCCUGAUCCAGCAAUGCCGCGUGAGUGAAGAAGGCCUUCGGGUUGUAAAGCUCUUUUGUCAGGGAAGAAACGGUGAAAGCUAAUAUCUUUUGCUAAUGACGGUACCUGAAGAAUAAGCACCGGCUAACUACGUGCCAGCAGCCGCGGUAAUACGUAGGGUGCAAGCGUUAAUCGGAAUUACUGGGCGUAAAGCGUGCGCAGGCGGUUUUGUAAGUCUGAUGUGAAAUCCCCGGGCUCAACCUGGGAAUUGCAUUGGAGACUGCAAGGCUAGAAUCUGGCAGAGGGGGGUAGAAUUCCACGUGUAGCAGUGAAAUGCGUAGAUAUGUGGAGGAACACCGAUGGCGAAGGCAGCCCCCUGGGUCAAGAUUGACGCUCAUGCACGAAAGCGUGGGGAGCAAACAGGAUUAGAAACCCCAGUAGUCCCAUGA